GGGUUUAAAAAAAAAUAUUUUUAAGUUUCGUAUUCAGCCUGGCCCACCUAGUGACCCAAGGAAAAAGCCAGUGCAAAACUGAGAAAAAAAUAAGAGAACUGACCCAAUUUUUAAAGGACGACUGACAAGCGGUACGCAUGCGCACUAAGGAGGGGGCGGCUUCCCCUCGCAAAACGGCACGCAUGCCCAUUUGGUCAGGAUGGCUUGCCCGAUUUGCCUGAUAGUGGGAAAUGUUUCACGUCCGGUUGAAGAUGGUGGCUGGAAGGUACGUGUCCAAGGGGGCUGGAAGAAAGUAUUCCUCUACUAUAUUCUGAACUUUUCCCAGACAGAUCAGCGCUAUCUGCACAAUUUUAUUAAAGAAUCCCAAUGCAUGUUAGUAUUGUUACAUACUUUACAGCUCGUCCCUGGAAAUUUAACCACGAUAUAGAAAUUGGUGAUGCUGUAAAAGCCCAGCAAUCUCACCACAAAUCUGAGCCACCACUUAAUCUAUAAAGUAUCUCCAGCUCUUAAGUCAGUUUCUUCUUACAAAAAGGGUCUUCUAGAAUUAUACACUUUGACUCCAUUCUGCAUUGAAGAACGAGCAUAUUUUGUCAGCAAAGCACCGGUCGUUUGCUUCUCCGAACACAAGUCUCUGCAAGAUAGAAGACAUACUCCUUGUGUAACUUUAAAAGCUCUUCAAAAACAAAAUGAACUGCUUCAAGUUAUUUCAAGUACAAAAAUACAUAAUUAUGGAACCAUCAGUAAGUUAUUCCAACAUAUUGCAUCAACCAGCAUAUGCCUUGGGUCUAAUAAAGGCAGUGGAAACACAGAACAAAGGUGGUGGGAAGGGAUGCCAAGAGAAAUGAUAAAUCGGAGAAAGCCACACAGAAUUUUGAAAACAAGGAGAAAUCUGAAAGCUGUGCUGUAUGUUAAAGUGAUGCAUUGCAAUUGGUGUGCGAAGCUAAUAAAGGGAACUAUGAUGUUGUCAA